UACGAAGGGGGCUAGCGUUGUUCGGAAAUACUGGGCGUAAAGCGAACGUAGGCGGCUUUCUAAGUCAGGGGUGAAAUCCCGGGGCUCAACCCCGGAACUGCCCUUGAAACUGGAUGGCUAGAAUCUUGGAGAGGCGAGUGGAAUUCCGAGUGUAGAGGUGAAAUUCGUAGAUAUUCGGAAGAACACCAGUGGCGAAGGCGACUCGCUGGACAAGUAUUGACGCUGAGGUGCGAAAGCGUGGGGAGCAAACAGG
rnacentral:misc_RNA from 1 species